AUAUAUAUGUGUGUGUGUGUGUGUGUGUGUGUAUUUAUGCACAUGUACAUAUAUAUGUAUGCAUGCAUUUUGUUUGGUUAUGUCCUUGAAAGUUAGUGAUUUGCCAAAAAGCAAUCAAGGUAAUAGAACCCGUCACUUUGUUUGAGUAAACAGUUGAAUGUGGUGCUCCAGCAUGGCUACGGUCCAAUGACUAAAACAAGCAAAAGGUAAAAGAUGUGUACACACACACACACACACACACACACACACACACACACCAACACACUCAUGCACACUAUGCUAUGUACACGUGUGUACAAUAUACAAUUUUCAGUCAUCUUUCAUUGUUUCCACAUUUUCUCCACA
rnacentral:lncRNA from 1 species